rnacentral:rRNA from 1 species
GACGAACGCUGGCGGCGUGCUUAACACAUGCAAGUCGAACGGAAAGGCCCUGCUUGCAGGGUGCUCGAGUGGCGAACGGGUGAGUAACACGUGGGUGAUCUGCCCCUUACUUUGGGAUAAGCCUGGGAAACUGGGUCUAAUACUGGAUAGGACCAUGCUGUAGGCGGUGUGGUGGAAAGAUUAGUUUCGGUAAGGGAUGAGCUCGCGGCCUAUCAGCUUGUUGGUGGGGUAAUGGCCUACCAAGGCGUCGACGGGUAGCCGGCCUGGGAGGGUGGACGGCCACAUUGGGACUGAGAUACGGCCCAGACUCCUACGGGAGGCAGCAGUGGGGAAUAUUGCACAAUGGGGGCAAGCCUGAUGCAGCGACGCCGCGUGGGGGAUGACGGCCUUCGGGUUGUAAACUCCUUUCAGCCAUGACGAAGCCCUUGUGGUGACGGUAGUGGUAGAAGAAGCACCGGCUAACUACGUG